rnacentral:rRNA from 1 species
GAUCAACGCUGGCGGCGUGCCUAAUACAUGCAAGUCGAGCGAACAGACGAGGAGCUUGCUCCUCUGAUGUUAGCGGCGGACGGGUGAGUAACACGUGGAUAACCUACCUAUAAGACUGGGAUAACUUCGGGAAACCGGAGCUAAUACCGGAUAACAUGUUGAACCGCAUGGUUCAACAGUGAAAGACGGUCUUGCUGUCACUUAUAGAUGGAUCCGCGCCGCAUUAGCUAGUUGGUAAGGUAACGGCUUACCAAGGCAACGAUGCGUAGCCGACCUGAGAGGGUGAUCGGCCACACUGGAACUGAGACACGGUCCAGACUCCUACGGGAGGCAGCAGUAGGGAAUCUUCCGCAAUGGGCGAAAGCCUGACGGAGCAACGCCGCGUGAGUGAAGAAGGUCUUCGGAUCGUAAAACUCCGUUAUUAGGGAAGAACAAAUGUGUAAGUAACUAUGCACGUCUUGACGGUACCUAAUCAGAAAGCCACGGCUAACUACGUG